CUUGACUGUAGCCUGGAAUUGGGUUCGGGCUUUUCUUGCGCAGACUAGGUGGGAGGCUAUGAAGAUUUCCUUCCGGGGAAGUUGGAGCCAACAGUGAGAGACCACUCUGGAAAGGCUAGAAUCCUCAUGGUGAUCCUUGAAUCAGGACACUUGACAGUUUCAGGUGGGCAGUUUUUCUGGGGCGGAAGCCUCAUAAAGGGUAACUGAGGCGCGCAAAGGUCCCCUCAGUCUGGACGGAAAUCAGACAACGAGUGUAAAGGCAAAAGGGGGCUUGGCUGCAAGACCUACAAGUCGAGCAGGAGCGAAAGCUGGCCUUAGUGAUCCGACGGUGCCGUGUGGAAGGGCCGUCGCUCGACGAAUAAAAGUUA
rnacentral:rRNA from 1 species